ACUCCUACGGGAGGCAGCAGUGGGGAAUUUUGCGCAAUGGGCGAAAGCCUGACGCAGCAACGCCGCGUGAGUGAUGAAGGCUUUCGGGUCGUAAAGCUCUGUCAGGGGGGAAAGAAGUGUAUUGUGGCUAAUAUCCACGAUACUUGACGGUACCCCCAAAGGAAGCACCGGCUAACUCCGUGCCAGCAGCCGCGGUAAUACGGAGGGUGCAAGCGUUGUUCGGAAUUAUUGGGCGUAAAGCGCGUGUAGGCGGUUUGUUAAGUCUGAUGUGAAAGCCCCGGGCUCAACCCGGGAAGUGCAUUGGAAACUGGCAGACUUGAAUACGGGAGAGGGUAGUGGAAUUCCUAGUGUAGGAGUGAAAUCCGUAGAUAUUAGGAGGAACACCGGUGGCGAAGGCGGCUGCCUGGACCGAUAUUGACGCUGAGACGCGAAAGCGUGGGUAGCAAACAGGAUUAGAUACCCUGGUAGUCCACGCCGUAAACGAUGAGAACUAGGUGUUGCGGGUA
rnacentral:rRNA from 1 species